rnacentral:rRNA from 1 species
AGGAAGUAAAAGUCGUAACAAGGUUUCCGUAGGUGAACCUGCGGAAGGAUCAUUAACGAAUUUCUCAAAGUUGCUUACAGCGUUGUGCGGUCUUCCGCAUGCGUUGAAGGUAGCUCUUGAGUAUUUCACACAUCCCCCUGUGCACCUUAAGAGGGUAACUGUUCUGUCUUGAGCGCUGCUGUGCUCGAUAGGAUGUGUUGCCUUCUAUUUACAAAAUCAAAAGUCUAGAAUGUUUGAUAAUAUUAAAUAAAAUAACUUUCAACAACGGAUCUCUUGGCUCUCGCAUCGAUGAAGAACGCAGCGAAAUGCGAUAAGUAAUGUGAAUUGCAGAAUUCAGUGAAUCAUCGAAUCUUUGAACGCACCUUGCGCUCCUUGGUAUUCCGAGGAGCAUGCCUGUUUGAGUGUCAUGAUAAUCUCAAGUCAACAUUUUGGUUUAUCCGAUUUGUUGAUUUGGACUUGGAGGUUGUGCUGAUCUUUGUAUUGGCUCCUCUUAAAUGCAUUAGCUGGAUUACUAUCAGUAAUAGUCCAUGGUGUUGUAAUCUCGGCGCUGUGACUUAACUGAAUGACGAUCUGCUUCUAGUAUAGUUGCCUCUGGCAAUAUUUGUAAACUUGACCUCAAAUCAGGUAGGACUACCCGCUGAACUUAAGCAUAUCAAUAAG